AUUGAACGCUGGCGGCAGGCCUAACACAUGCAAGUCGAGCGGCAGCGGGAAAGUAGCUUGCUACUUUUGCCGGCGAGCGGCGGACGGGUGAGUAAUGCCUGGGAAAUUGCCCAGUCGAGGGGGAUAACAGUCGGAAACGACUGCUAAUACCGCAUACGCCCUACGGGGGAAAGCAGGGGACCUUCGGGCCUUGCGCGAUUGGAUAUGCCCAGGUGGGAUUAGCUAGUUGGUGAGGUAAUGGCUCACCAAGGCGACGAUCCCUAGCUGGUCUGAGAGGAUGAUCAGCCACACUGGAACUGAGACACGGUCCAGACUCCCACGGGAGGCAGCAGUGGGGAAUAUUGCACAAUGGGGGAAACCCUGAUGCAGCCAUGCCGCGUGUGUGAAGAAGGCCUUCGGGUUGUAAAGCACUUUCAGCGAGGAGGAAAGGUUGAUGCCUAAUACGUAUCAACUGUGACGUUACUCGCAGAAGAAGCACCGGCUAACUCCGUGCCAGCCGCCGCCGUAA
rnacentral:rRNA from 1 species